rnacentral:rRNA from 1 species
GACGAACGCUGGCGGCGUGCCUAAUACAUGCAAGUAGAACGCUGAAGGAGGAGCUUGCUUCUCUGGAUGAGUUGCGAACGGGUGAGUAACGCGUAGGUAACCUGCCUGGUAGCGGGGGAUAACUAUUGGAAACGAUAGCUAAUACCGCAUAAGAGUAGAUGUUGCAUGACAUUUGCUUAAAAGGUGCAAUUGCAUCACUACCAGAUGGACCUGCGUUGUAUUAGCUAGUUGGUGGGGUAACGGCUCACCAAGGCGACGAUACAUAGCCGACCUGAGAGGGUGAUCGGCCACACUGGGACUGAGACACGGCCCAGACUCCUACGGGAGGCAGCAGUAGGGAAUCUUCGGCAAUGGACGGAAGUCUGACCGAGCAACGCCGCGGGAGUGAAGAAGGUUUUCGGAUCGUAAAGCUCUGUUGUAAGAGAAGAACGAGUGUGAGAGUGGAAAGUUCACACUGUGACGGUAGCUGACCAGAAAGGGACGGCUAACUACGUG